GGCUACGUAGCUCAGCUGAAUAGAGCACUGGAUUUCGGCUCCAGCGGUCACAGGUUUGAAUCCUGUCGUAGUCACUA
rnacentral:tRNA from 1 species